UGAUUUAUAAUCAUUAAAUUACACCUAAAGAUCAUGAUCCAAAUUUAUCACUUCUACUUACUAGUGUCCCAAUGGCCAAUGGGACAUGUCAUAUUUUAUAAAAAUAAAUAAGUUUUUAUUUUAUAUAAAAUAGUCAUGUAUUAUUUAAAACUUUAACGACAGUCUCAUAGUUAAAUAUCUUGGUAAGAUUUAAUGGAUGAUUUACGAGCUUUGGGAACUCGUUAUGAUCUAAUUAACAAACUAAUGUCUUUCAUACUUUUAUUGUUUUAUUAUUACAUAAAUUUUCAUUCAAAUGAUUCACAAAAGGAAAUCAACGGGUCGAAGGUAACUAACUCGACGACCGGAAUAUCUAGACAAGAUGCUGGGAGGUCAUCGACGUCUCGAUACCGGGCAACGAUUAUUCACCGGAGAUACUGAAUUUGAAUAAAUUUAAAGAAUAAUAACCACCGGAAUAGAAGAACUCGAACCGUAGAGCCAAUAAAAACUAAUUUAAAAAUAGUUAUCGCCGCGCAAUUAAAAAAAAACUUCUACACUUAAAAAUCGCGUGUAAGUGUCAAUUACAAAAAAUGUUUUUAUUGAAGUGACAACAUUUUAAUUCCUGACGCUUACAGAGCAACAAACUUUUAAAUUUACGACUGUAGUUUUUAAAAAAUUUUAUUGAUCACCAACACGGCAAUUAAAAUUAAUUGAAGAAUAUUUGCGCCAAUUAUUUACGGUUAUGAAACAUACACUAGAUAUAUUUAUUUCAUUAUUAUCAUUAUCACUGUUGACAUUAUGUGAUUAUUAUAAUUAUUGUUUUUUUUUAUGACUCUUGCUGACUCUAAUGAACGACAGAGAGAUAGUUAAUGCUAUUACACGGAAUUUACCCGUUAAUUGUUUAGUAUUACGAUAAUACGUAGGGAUAAAAUUCCCACAACAAAGAGAACCGGAUAGUCUCUCAUUUGAUUCAAACGGCUAACACAAUUUACGAUCGUUAUCUUUGUAGUAGAGGAAUUGCGUUACUAGCUGAUGCUUGCAAUUGGAAACAUUUACCCUCUUGUAUCCGCAAUUAUUUAUCCCCAAAAUUAUUGUAUGCUCUUUCUUUCCUCCUACAUUUUAUCGUGACCGUAAUUAUUUUUCCACCGAAUAUCUAUUGAUUCAUUGAGGAUAGCAUUCAUUUUCUAAAAAUAAUAAUAAUAAUUUAUUUUAUGUUGAGUUUAUUGAAACGAUCAGACUUUUAUAUUUUUUAAAUGAAGGAACAACGGCUUUACAGAUCUGCUUUAUUGACAUCAAUUUAUUAUUUUGCGGGUAACGUUUCGUUAAUGGUAAUUAACAUCUUCAGACCC